AUACCAUGAUGAGAGCACUUCCUUAACAUCUCUUUGAAUCUCUCCCAUGCAUCAUACAGUGAUUCCCCCUCCAUCUGACAGAAAUUAUUAAUUUCUCCCCUUAACUU